GAUGAAGAACGCAGUGAAAUGCGAUAAGUAAUGUGAAUUGCAGAAUUCAGUGAGUCAUCGAAUCUUUGAACGCACAUUGCGCCCUGUGGUAUUCCGCAGGGCAUGCCUGUUCGAGCGUCAUUUCAACCCUCAAGCUCUGCUUGGUGUUGGGCCCUGCCCGCUGCGGCCGGCCCUAAAGACAGUGGCGGUGCCGCCUGGCCCUGAGCGUAGUACAUCUCUCGCUCCAGUGCCCGGUGGUAGCCUGCCAGAACCCCAACUCUCGUGGUUGACCUCGGAUCAGGUAGGGAUACCCGCUGAACUUAAGCAUAUCAAUAAGCGGAGGA
rnacentral:misc_RNA from 1 species